rnacentral:rRNA from 1 species
CCCUUAGAUGUUCUGGGCCGCACGCGCGCUACACUGACGAAUGCAACGAGCUUAUAACCCUGGCCGAAAGGUCUGGGUAAUCUCCAAAUUUCGUCGUGAUGGGGAUAGAUUAUUGCAAUUAUUAAUCUUCAACGAGGAAUGCCUAGUAAGCGCAAGUCAUCAGCUUGCGUUGAUUACGUCCCUGCCCUUUGUACACACCGCCCGUCGCUCCUACCGAUUGAAUGGUCCGGUGAAGCGCUCGGACCGCGGCCUCUUGACGGUUUUCCGUCGAUUGGCUGUGGGAAGUUCGUUAAACCUUAUCAUUUAGAGGAAGGAGAANUCGUAACA